rnacentral:piRNA from 1 species
UGGGAAGGAAAAUGCCAUCGUGGUUC